rnacentral:lncRNA from 1 species
UUUCGUAUUUUGGGAAAUCCGUGUGUUUUUCAAAAACUAAAAAUUAGUUGAGAACUGUAGCUACUAAAUUGAUCGCUAACCUCUGGAGGGAUUGGAAUAUAUAGAGUACCCUCACCUUACCAUGAGUCGAGGAUGCGCAAGGAUAACCAAACCCCCAAACAUUCCUCCUCGGGGUACUUGUCUCUUUGUGAAUUUCCUAACUGGAUAGGGAGUUACCGAUAAUAAGUGUAUAAGUUCUUCGGACUAAUGUGAGUAUUCGAAUAUUGGCACUUCCACCAUCCAUAUUUUGCUAACCUCUUCGGUAUCGUGCAUUGCCCUUUCUCACAUUGAGAGUUGGUGCAAACUCCGCCGGUGCAUCCAAACCCAUGACAUGAUAAACUCUAUCAUACAUAAGCCUCAUUAUAUCUUUCCUCAAAACAUCCACCAUACCUAUCUACUACGACAUUUCCAUAGCAUUUUCGAGAUACAUUGCCAUUCAACAUCCAUCAUCUCAUGACUUGAUCUUCAUGUCAUACAUGCUUUUGCUUGAUCAUAGAGCCGCAUGAUAGUUGGGCCUUGCCCUCAUUA